CAGAGAUGCUCGUCACCUGAAGAGUGUUCAGUUCAGGACAAAUGCAUCAAGGAGUGGAAUAUUAAUUGAAGCUUUUUCAAGUUUUAAGAAUGAAGAGGUUCUGGCUUUGUGCAGUGGCGAUACUUUCCAUGUGCAAUUUGUUGAAUUCUGAUGUCUGCAAGAGUUUGUGUUCCUGUUCUGCCCACAAGGUUGAUUGCGAAAGGAAAGGGGUUAAUUCAACUCUACUGCUGAACAUCAGCUUUCCAACGAACAUGACAAGUCUGUAAGUUCA